rnacentral:lncRNA from 1 species
GAGAAAUAUACUCUGGGUUUUUUAAAUUAGACAUUGGAGUUGCAAAUAGAAAUAUAAGCGUGUCUGGGGAUUUCAUCUCCACUGCUUUAUCUUCCCUGCUGCCAGAGGUCCCAAGUGGCUCUGUCAUAGCCUCUGUUGCCCUGUGAACUGAAGGUACUGAGAGAUCCAUAGAUAGGACAUUGAGAGAUACCAGAAGCUAGGAAAUGGACUCAGUGGCCUUUUGAAGAUGUGGCAGGAAACUCACUCAGGAGAAGUGGGCUUUGCUGGAUCCUUCUCAGAAGAAUCUCUACAGAGAUGUGAUGGAGAAAACCUCCAGGAACUUGGCUUCUGUAGGAAACAAGUAGGAAGAUCAGAACAUUGGAGAUCAGUUCAAAAAUCCUGGGAGAAAUCUAAGAAGUUAUAUCAUGGAGAGACUGUGUGAAAGUAAAGAAGGUAGUCAUCAUGGGGAAACCUUCAGCCAGAUUCCAAAUCUUAAUAUGAACAAGAAAAGUCCUCCCGGAGUAAAACCGUGUGAAGGUAGUAUGUGUGGAAAAAUUUUCAUGUCAUUCAUCCCCUGACAGGCACAUCAUAUGUCAUACUGGACACAAACCAUGAGUGUGGGGAAUGUGGAGAUAAGUCACAUAAAUGUAAACAAUGUGGGAAAGCCUUAAUUUCUCUCAAGACUGUUCAAAGAAAUAGAGUAACACACACUUUGAUUUUCUCAGUUCAUUUUGUAAAACAUCAGAGAACGCACACAGGAGAGAAAGCUUAUAAAUGUACACAAUGUAGUAAAGCCUUCAGUUUCUUCAGUAGUUGUAGAAUACAUGAAAGAAUUCACACUAGAGAAAAACCCUAUGAAUGUAAGCAAUGUAGGAAAGCA